rnacentral:rRNA from 1 species
CGAGGGGCCGAUAGCGAACAAGUACCGUGAGGGAAAGAUGAAAAGAACUUUGAAAAAGAAUUUAAACAGUACGUGAAAUGGUUGAAGGGAAAAGGUUGAAAUCCAUUCGCUUGGUCCGGGGUCAACCUUGGCUUUUCUAGGGGUUCCUUUUGGUUGGCGGGUCCGCCUCCAUUUUGGACCUUGGAAAAAGGUCCGGGGAAUGUGGCAUCUUUGGAUGUGUUUAUAGCCCUUGGUUGCAUACAAUGGUUGGGAUUGAGGAACUCAGCACGCCGCAAGGCCGGGUUACAAACCACGUACGUGCUUAGGAUGCUGGCAAAAUGGCUUUAAUCGACCCGUCUUGAAACACGGACCAAGGAGUCUAACAUGCCUGCGAGUGUUUGGGUGGAAAACCCGAGCGCGUAAUGAAAGUGAAAGUUGAGAUCCCUGUCGUGGGGAGCAUCGACGCCCGGACCAGACCUUUUGUGACGGUUCCGCGGUAGAGCAUGUAUGUUGGGACCCGAAAGAUGGUGAACUAUGCCUGAAUAGGGUGAAGCCAGAGGAAACUCUGGUGGAGGCUCGUAGCGAUUCUGACGUGCAAAUCGAUCGUCAAAUUUGGGUAUAGGGGCG